rnacentral:rRNA from 1 species
GACGAACGCUGGCGACGUGCCUAAUACAUGCAAGUUGAGCGCUGAAGGUUGGUACUUGUACCGACUGGAUGAGCAGCGAACGGGUGAGUAACGCGUGGGGAAUCUGCCUUUGAGCGGGGGACAACACUUGGAAACGAAUGCUAAUACCGCAUAACAACUUUAAACACAAGUUUUAAGUUUGAAAGAUGCAAUUGCAUCACUCAAAGAUGAUCCCGCGUUGUAUUAGCUAGUUGGUGAGGUAAAGGCUCACCAAGGCGAUGAUGCAUAGCCGACCUGAGAGGGUGAUCGGCCACAUUGGGACUGAGACACGGCCCAAACUCCUACGGGAGGCAGCAGUAGGGAAUCUUCGGCAAUGGACGAAAGUCUGACCGAGCAACGCCGCGUGAGUGAAGAAGGUUUUCGGAUCGUAAAACUCUGUUGGUAGAGAAGAACGUUGGUGAGAGUGGAAAGCUCAUCAAGUGACGGUAACUACCCAGAAAGGGACGGCUAACUACGUGCCAGCAGCCGCCGUAA